AUUGAACGCUGGCGGCAGGCCUAACACAUGCAAGUCGAGCGAGCGGCGGACGGGUGAGUAAUGUCUGGUAAACUGCCUGAUGGAGGGGGAUAACUACUGGAAACGGUAGCUAAUACCGUAUACCAUCAGAUGUGCCCAGAUGGGAAUAGCUGGUAGGUGGGGUAACGGCUCACCUAGGCGACGAUCCCUACCUGGCCUGAGAGGUUGACCGGCCACACUGGAACUGAGACACGGUCCAGACUCCUACGGGAGGCAGCAGUGGGGAAUAUUGCGCAAUGGGCGCAAGCCUGAUGCAGCCAUGCCGCGUGUGUGAAGAAGGCCUUCGGGUUGUAAAGCACUUUCGGCGGGGAGGCGUUACCCGCAGAAGAAGCACCGGCUAACUCCGUGCCAGCAGCCGCGGUAAUAC
rnacentral:rRNA from 1 species